rnacentral:rRNA from 1 species
UUAUAUAAUUAAUUAUAGGUGGGACCUGGUCAAUGAAUAAGAAAAUUUAAAUUUUCUUAUUUAAAUUCAUGCCUUACUUCGAGGAGGGUAAUAAUGUAGCAUAAUAAUUAGAUAUUUAAUUGAUGUCUGGAAUGAAUGGUGAAAUGAUUAUAAGAUUGUCUUAAAUUUAUAAAAAAAAAUUGAAAUAAUAGUUAAGAUUCUAUUUUUAUAAGGAAAGACGAGAAGACCCUAUAAACCUUUACUAAAAUUUAUUAUUUUUUUAUAUAAAAAUAAAUAAAUAGUUAGUUCAGCUGGGGCAGCUAUCUUUUAUAAAAAAAAAAUGAUUUUAUUAUCGUUUAUUUAAUAAAAUUAACGAUUAUUGAAAUAAUUAUGACCUUAUAAAUAUUAUUUUUUUUAUAAUUUUUAAAUAAAAGGUACUUUAGGGAUAACAGCGUGAUUUAAAAAUAGAGACGAAAUCAAAUUUUAAGCUUGCGACCUCGAUGUUGAAUUUAGAUAUCCUUCAAUUGUAGGGGAUUGAAAAGGUUAGAUUGUUCAUCUAUUAAAAUCUUACAUGAUUU